AUUGAACGCUGGCGGCAGGCCUAACACAUGCAAGUCGAACGGUAACAGGAAGCAGCUUGCUGCUUUGCUGACGAGUGGCGGACGGGUGAGUAAUGUCUGGGAAACUGCCUGAUGGAGGGGGAUAACUACUGGAAACGGUAGCUAAUACCGCAUAACGUCGCAAGACCAAAGAGGGGGACCUUCGGGCCUCUUGCCAUCGGAUGUGCCCAGAUGGGAUUAGCUAGUAGGUGGGGUAACGGCUCACCUAGGCGACGAUCCCUAGCUGGUCUGAGAGGAUGACCAGCCACACUGGAACUGAGACACGGUCCAGACUCCUACGGGAGGCAGCAGUGGGGAAUAUUGCACAAUGGGCGCAAGCCUGAUGCACCCAUGCCGCGUGUAUGAAGAAGGCCUUCGGGUUGUAAAGUACUUUCAGCGGGGAGGAAGGGAGUAAAGUUAAUACCUUGGCUCAUUGACGUUACCCGCAGAAGAAGCACCGGCUAACUCCGUG
rnacentral:rRNA from 1 species